CUCCUGUGCCAGAAUUUCUACCACCACAAGUACUCAUAAAGCAAUCUUCUUUGCUAUCUCGUGGACCAUCUUCUCAACUCUCUCGGCCCUCUGCACGUGGCAUUAAGAAGACCUCUAAUAAAGAGAAGAUUUUUCCCGUGCGGCCAUCCCAGAUGUCAUCACAAAAAACAACAGAUACUUCUUUGCUGGCAGCUAUUAAUGAAUUAAUGCUACGCAAAGCCACUAAGCAUCGUACAGCAACGAUCCGUUCCCGGAGAACUGCGUUACAACUUUCAGAAUCUGAGUCGGGGUCAGAGAGUGAUUAUGGCAAUGAGAGUUGACCUGAUCCAUAGAAGAGUACAUGACAUCAAUGGAUUAACACUACGCAGU